rnacentral:rRNA from 1 species
AAAAAGAACCUGAAACCGUGUACGUACAAGCAGUGGGAGCCUCUUUAUGGGGUGACUGCGUACCUUUUGUAUAAUGGGUCAGCGACUUAUAUUCUGUAGCAAGGUUAACCGAAUAGGGGAGCCGAAGGGAAACCGAGUCUUAACUGGGCGUUAAGUUGCAGGGUAUAGACCCGAAACCCGGUGAUCUAGCCAUGGGCAGGUUGAAGGUUGGGUAACACUAACUGGAGGACCGAACCGACUAAUGUUGAAAAAUUAGCGGAUGACUUGUGGCUGGGGGUGAAAGGCCAAUCAAACCGGGAGAUAGCUGGUUCUCCCCGAAAGCUAUUUAGGUAGCGCCUCGUGAAUUCAUCUCCGGGGGUAGAGCACUGUUUCGGCAAGGGGGUCAUCCCGACUUACCAACCCGAUGCAAACUGCGAAUACCGGAGAAUGUUAUCACGGGAGACACACGGCGGGUGCUAACGUCCGUCGUGAAGAGGGAAACAACCCAGACCGCCAGCUAAGGUCCCAAAGUCAUGGUUAAGUGGGAAACGAUGUGGGAAGGCCCAGACAGCCAGGAUGUUGGCUUAGAAGCAGCCAUCAUUUAAAGAAAGCGUAAUAGCUCACUGGUCGAGUCGGCCUGCGCGGAAGAUGUAACGGGGCUAAACCAUG